rnacentral:rRNA from 1 species
UACGGAGGGUGCAAGCGUUAAUCGGAAUUACUGGGCGUAAAGCGUGCGCAGGCGGUUUGUUAAGUCUGCUGUGAAAUCCCCGAGCUCAACUUGGGAAUUGCAGUGGAUACUGGCAAGCUGGAGUACGGUAGAGGAAGGUGGAAUUCCCGGUGUAGCAGUGAAAUGCGUAGAGAUCGGGAGGAACACCAGUGGCGAAGGCGGCUCACUGGCCCGGUACUGACGCUGAGGUGCGAAAGCGUGGGGAGCAAACAGG